rnacentral:lncRNA from 1 species
CGGAGCCUAAGAUAUUCUUUGUCUUGUCGGUACUAGAGUCACCGAAAGAGACAUCCUAUUAUAUGCACGUUCACAAGGACAAUGGCGCCAUUGUUCUUCGCGUCUUCAAAGCAGCUACAAGAAGAAACCAAGAUGGAGGGGAGCCCAAAGCAUCUGAGAGAAUUGAUAAAUGAAAGAAACAUGCUUAAAACAUGACCGUUUUAAAGGGUGUGUAUUGAAGCCUAGAUUUUUUCCCUUGUAAGCAUGCAAACAUACCGUUGUGAAGUAAGAAUCCGGGUUCCUGGAAAUGUAUUGUGAAGUAGUCCUGGCCAAACUACUCUGGCCUUUGCAAUUUGGAGUGACUGUUGUGAAUGCAUGGUGUACAAAUUGAUUGUACAAACAGUUGUGAGACAUACCGGGUCAGAACAGUGAUGAAAUACA